rnacentral:lncRNA from 1 species
AAAGUUUAGCUAAGACGCAAGAACGACUAGAUAAACAACAUGCAAGCUUCUCAUUUCUUGAUAUUAACAAUAUACAAAAUUAUGCUAUAGCAAAAUACCAAGAACACUAAUAACACUAUCAAUCUUCCUCAUUCUCUAGUAAACAAUAUACAAAAUUUUAGCAAAAGCAGACCAAAUAAUAACACUACACAAUCCUUCUCAUUUCUUGAUAAACAAUAUACAAAAUUUAUGCAAAAAACGAACACAGACACUCAAUCUUCUCAUUUCUUGUUUAACAUAAUACAAAUUUAGCAACAAGAACCUAAGUUAAACUACCAAUCUUCUCAUUGCUUGAUAACAAUAUCACAAUUUAGCAAAAAUCAGAAGAACUACAAUAACCACUAUAUCAAUCUUACUAUUUCUUGUUAGCAUAAUAUCAAUCAUUUUAAGCACACAACAAUGAACUAAUUAAAACACUACAUCAAUCCUCUCUUUUCUUGAUAACAAUCAUACAUUUAGCCAGAAACAUGAAAUACCUAUCAACUCCUAUCAAUCUUCUCAUUUGGCUUGACAGACAAUCAUAUAGAAUUACGCACAAGACCAUAACAAGAACACUAAUAACGUUAUCAAUCUUCUCAUUUCUUGACAACAAUAUACAAAAUUUAGCAAAACAAGAACACUAAUAACACUAUCAAUCUUCUCAUUUCUUGAUAAGAAUAUACAAAAUUAGCGAAACAAGAACACUAAUAACACUAUCAAUCUUCUCAUUUCUUGAUAAGAAUAUACAAAAUUUAGCAAAACAAGAACACUAAUAAUACUAUCAACCAUCUCAUUUCUUGAUAACAAUAUAUAAAAUUUAGCAAAACAAGAACACUAAAAACACUAUCAAUCUUCUCAUUUCUUGAUAACAAUAUACAAAAUUUAGCAAAACAAGAACACUAAUAACACUAUCGACCUUCUCAUUUCUUGAUAACAAUAUACAAAAUUUAGUAAAACAAGAACACUAAAAACACUACCAAUCUUCUCAUUUCUUGAUAACAAUAUACAAAAUUUAGCAAAACAAGAACACUAAUAACACUAUCAAUCUUCUCAUUUCUUGAUAACAAUAUACAAAAUUUAGCAAAACAAGAACACUAAUAACACUAUCCAUCUUCUCCUUUCUUGGCAACAAUAUACAAAAUUAGCAAAACAAGAACACUAAUAACACAAUCGAUCUUCUCAUUUCUUGAUAAGAAUAUACAAAAUUUAGCAAAACAAGAACACUAAUAACAUUAUCAAUCUUCUCAUUUCUUGAUAAGAAUAUACAAAAUUUAGCAAAACAAGAACACUAAUAACACUAUCAAUCUUCUCAUUUCUUGAUAACAAUAUACAAAAUUUAGCAAAACAAGAACACUAAUAACACUAUUGACCUUCUCAUUUCUUGAUAACAAUAUACACAAUUUAGCAAAACAAGAACACUAAUUACACUAUCAAUCUUCUCAUUUCUUGGCAACAAUAUACAAAAUUAGCAAAACAAGAACACUAAUAACACAAUCGAUCUUCUCAUUUCUUGAUAACAAUAUACAAAAUUUAGCAAAACAAGAACACUAAUAACACUAUCAAUCUUCU